UUUCCGUAGGUGAACCUGCGGAAGGAUCAUUACUUUAUAACCGAGGUCCUAGGGCUGUCGCUGUCCCGCAAGGUCGUUCACUCCCGAGUGCCCUCACACACAUCCAUCUCCCCCCUAGGUGCACCACCGCCUUUGUCGCUCUUUUGCUUGUUUGGAGGGGGUCUAUCAUUUUCACUUUCACUUUGUAUUCACUUUAUUAUGUAUUUUUUGUUUUUGCGAUCACGCAAUCAAUACACAUUUCUACACCGCAUCUCUUGGCUCUCGCAUCGAUGAACAACC
rnacentral:misc_RNA from 1 species